AUGUGCACCUCGAAAAGGGAUGGAGGUAUGGGUUUCCGCGACCUGACAGUGUUUAAUCAGGCUCUUCUUGCAAAGAAAGCCUGGCGUGUCUUACAAUUCCCAGAGGCGUUAGUGGCAAGAGUGCUCAAGGCACGCUACUUCAAAGAGGAAUCCAUUUUGAGCGCAACGUGUCCUGCUACAGCCUCAUACACUUACAGAAGUAUUUUGCAUGGCCGGGAUCUACUUCGCGAAGGCUUGGUGUGGAGAAUUGGAGACAGAUCCAAGGUGAGUAUACAUCACAGUAACUGGAUCCCAAGAGGCGGGUCCAUGAAGCCAUUGGGACAGACGUAUAUACCUGGCAUGACGAAGGUGGCAGAUCUCCUGUUGCCGGACGGAAGGAGCUGGGAUCGCGACCGAGUCAGGGAGAUGUUCACCCCGGAUGAUGCUAGCGACAUUUUGCAGAUUGUGGUGGGUGGUUUGGAUGCUGAUGACUACCAAGCUUGGAAUUUCACAAAGAAUGGAAUCUUCUCUGUUCGCUCAGCUUAUCACUUGAAAAUGGCCAUGCUCAGAUCGCGCUCCGGACGGCCGGAGUCAUCUAGCUCGGUGAACAAACACAAGGCGUAUAUGGCCCUCUGGGGCACGAAUGCACCGGGAAAGGCCAAGAUCCAUCUUUGGAGACUAAUUUCAAAUGGACUGGCAGUUGGAGCAGAGCUCCAUCGAUGA
rnacentral:rRNA from 1 species